rnacentral:rRNA from 1 species
UACGGAGGGUGCAAACGUUGCUCGGAAUUAUUGGGCGUAAAGCGCGCGUAGGCGGCUUGAUAAGUUGGAUGUGAAAGCCCUGGGCUCAACCCGGGAAGUGCAUCCAAAACUAUCUCGCUUGAAUCUCGGAGGGGGACAGGGAAUUCUCGGUGUAGAGGUGAAAUUCGUAGAUAUCGGGAGGAACACCAGUGGCGAAGGCG